rnacentral:rRNA from 1 species
AUUGAACGCUGGCGGCAGGCCUAACACAUGCAAGUCGAACGGAGUGGCGGACGGGUGAGUAAUACCUAGGAAUCUGCCUGGUAGUGGGGGAUAACGUUCGGAAACGGACGCUAAUCCCGCAUACUAUCAGAUGAGCCUAGGUCGGAUUAGCUAGUUGGUGAGGUAAUGGCUCACCAAGGCUACGAUCCGUAACUGGUCUGAGAGGAUGAUCAGUCACACUGGAACUGAGACACGGCCCAGACUCCUACGGGAGGCAGCAGUGGGGAAUAUUGGACAAUGGGCGAAAGCCUGAUCCAGCCAUGCCGCGUGGAUGAAGAAGGUCUUCGGAUUGUAAAGCACUUUAAGUUGGGAGGCGUUACCGACAGAAGAAGCACCGGCUAACUCCGUGCCAGCAGCCGCGGUAAUAC